rnacentral:rRNA from 1 species
AUUGAACGCUGGCGGCAUGCCUUACACAUGCAAGUCGAACGGUAACGGGCCUUCGGGUGCCGACGAGUGGCGAACGGGUGAGUAAUACAUCGGAACGUGCCCGAUCGUGGGGGAUAACGAGGCGAAAGCUUUGCUAAUACCGCAUACGAUCUACGGAUGAAAGCAGGGGACCGCAAGGCCUUGCGCGGACGGAGCGGCCGAUGGCAGAUUAGGUAGUUGGUGGGAUAAAAGCUUACCAAGCCGACGAUCUGUAGCUGGUCUGAGAGGAUGAUCAGCCACACUGGGACUGAGACACGGCCCAGACUCCUACGGGAGGCAGCAGUGGGGAAUUUUGGACAAUGGGCGCAAGCCUGAUCCAGCCAUGCCGCGUGCAGGAUGAAGGCCUUCGGGUUGUAAACUGCUUUUGUACGGAACGAAAAGCCUUCUUUUAAUACAGGAGGGUCAUGACGGGACCGUAAGAAUAAGCACCGGCUAACUACGU